CGGACGAAGUUGGCCAGCCCCACCCCCCAGGGCUAUAGCCCACCCGUUUUUGUGUCUUUUUCCGCUGGACGAACUUGGCGCCCCGGCCUUGGGGCGGUUAUUUUUGGACGCGGCUUUGUCCGCAGCCUAUUUUUGGCACACGGAGGCCCUUCGCAAAGUCUCGCGGCAUUCAUAGACCGGCGGACGAAGUGGGCCAGCCCCACCCCCCAAGGCUAUAGCCCACCCGUUUUUGUGGCUUUUUUCCGCGGGACGAACUUUGGGUGCGGCUGUGCCCGCGGACUAUUUUUGGCACACAGAGGCGCCUCGCAAAGUCUCGCGCCAUUCCGUGUCCGGCGGAUGAAGUGGGCCAGCCCCAGCCCCCAAGGCUAUCGCCCACCCGUUUUUGUGGCCUUUUUCCGCUGGACGAACUUGGCGCCCUGACCUUCGGACGGUUAUUUUUGGGCGCGGCUGUGCCCGCGGCCUAUUUUUUGCACAUGGAGGCACCUCGUAAAGUCUCGCGCCAUUCUGAGCCCGGCGGACGAAGUUGGCCUGCCCCACACCCCAAGGCUAUAGCCCACCCGUUUUUGUGGGCUUUUUUUGCAGGACGAACUUGGCGCCCCGGCCUUCGGCGGUUAUUUUUGGGCGCGGCUUUGCCCGUGGCCUAUUUUUGGCACAGGGAGGCCCCUCGCAAAGUCUCGCGGCAUUCCGAGUCCGGCGGACGAAGUAGGCCAGCCCCACCGCCCAAGGCUAUAGCCGACCCGUUUUUGUGGCUUUUUUCCGCUGGACGAACUUGGCGCCCCGGCCUUCGGGCGGUUAUUUUUGGGCGCGGCUUUGCCCGCAUCCUACUUUUGGCACACAGAGGCCCCUCGCAAAGUCUCGCGGCUUUCCGAGUCCGGCGGACGAAGUUGGCCAGCCCCACCCCCCAAGGCUAUAGCCCACCCGUUUUUGUGGCCUUUUUGCGCUGGACGAACUUGGCGCCCCGGCCUUCGGGCGGUUAUUUUUGGGUACGGCUUUGCCCACGGCCUACUUUUGGCACGCGGAGGCCCCUCGUAAAGUCUCGCGGCAUUCUGAGUCCGGCGGACGAAGUUGGCCAGCCCCACCCCCCAAGGCUAUAGCCCACCCGUUUUUGUGGCCUUUUUCCGCUGGACGAACUUGGCGCCCCGGCCUUCGGGCAGUUAUUUUUGGGUGCGGCUUUUCCCGCGGCCUACUUUUGGCACACGGAGGCUCCUCACAAAGUUUGGCGCCAUUCCGAGUCCGCGACGAGUUGGCCAGCCCCACCCCCCAGCUAUAGCCACCAUUUUUUAGCCUUUUCAGCUGACGAACUUGGCGCCCCGGCCUUCGGGCGGUUAUUUUUGGGCGUGGCUUUGCCCGUGGCCUAUGUUUGGCACACGGAGGCCCCUCGCAAAGUCUCACGGCAUUUCCGAGUCCGGCGGACGAAGUUGGCCAGCCCCACCCCCCAAGGCUAUAGCCCACCCGUUUUUGUGGCUUUUUCCGCUGGACGAACUUGGCGCCCCGGCCUUCGGGCGGUUAAUUUUGGGCGCGGCUUUGGCCGCUGCCUAUUUUUGGCACACAGAGGCCCCUCGCAAAGACUCGCGGCAUUCCGAGUCCGGCGGACGAAGAUGGCCAGCCCCACCCCCCAAGGCUAUAGCCCACCCGUUUUUGUGGCCUUUUUCCGCUGGACGAACUUGGCGCCCCGGCCUUCGGGCGGUUAUUUUUGGGCGCGGCUUUGCCCACAGCCUAUUUUUGGCACACGGAGGCCCCUCGCAAAGUCUCGCGGCAUUCCGAGACCGGCGGACGAAGUGGGCCAGCCCCACCCCCCAAGGCUAUAGCCCACCCGUUUUUGUGGCCUUUUUCCGCGGGACGAACUUGGCGCCCCGACCUUCGGGCGGUUAUUUUUUGCUGCGGCUGUGCCCGCGGCCUAUUUUUGGCACACGGAGGCGCCUCGCAAAAUCUCGCGCCAUUCCGUGUCCGGCGGAUGAAGUGGGCCAGCCCCACCCCCCAAGGCUAUAGCCCACCCGUUUUUGUGGCCUUUUUCCGCUGGACGAACUAGGCGCCCCGGCCUUCGGGCGGUUAUUUUUUGGCGCGGCUGUGCCCGCGGCAUAUUUUUGGUGUGUGGAGGCGCCUCGGAAAGUCUCGCGCCAUUCCGAGUCCGGCGGACGAACUUGGCCAGCCCCACCCCUCAAGGCUAUAGCCCACCCGUUUUAGUGGCCUUUUUCCGCUGGACGAACUUGGCGCCCCGGCCUUCGGGCGGUUAUUUUUUAGCACGGCUGUGUCCUCGGCCUAUUUUUAGCACACGGAGGUGGCUCACAAAGUCUCGCCCCAUUCCGAGUCCGGCAGACGAAGUUGGCCAGCCCCACCCCCCAAGGCUAUAGCCCACCCAUUUUUGAGGCCUUUUUCACCUGGACGAACUUGGCGCCCCGGCCUUCGGGCGGUUAUUUUUGGGCGCGGCUUUGCCCGUGGCCUAUUUUUGGCACACGGAGGCCCCUCGCAAAGUCUCACGGCAUUCCGAGUCCGGCGGACGAAGUUGGCCAGCCCCACCCCCCAGGGCUAUAGCCCACCCGUUUUUGUGUCUUUUUCCGCUGGACGAACUUGGCGCCCCGGCCUUGGGGCGGUUAUUUUUGGACGCGGCUUUGUCCGCAGCCUAUUUUUGGCACACGGAGGCCCUUCGUAAAGUCUCGCGGCAUUCAUAGACCGGCGGACGAAGUGGGCCAGCCCCACCCCCCAAGGCUAUAGCCCACCCGUUUUUGUGGCUUUUUUCCGCGGGACGAACUUUGGGUGCGGCUGUGCCCGCGGACUAUUUUUGGCACACAGAGGCGCCUCGCAAAGUCUCGCGCCAUUCCGUGUCCGGCGGAUGAAGUGGGCCAGCCCCAGCCCCCAAGGCUAUCGCCCACCCGUUUUUGUGGCCUUUUUCCGCUGGACGAACUUGGCGCCCUGACCUUCGGACGGUUAUUUUUGGGCGCGGCUGUGCCCGCGGCCUAUUUUUUGCACAUGGAGGCACCUCGCAAAGUCUCGCGCCAUUCUGAGCCCGGCGGACGAAGUUGGCCUGCCCCACACCCCAAGGCUAUAGCCCACCCGUUUUUGUGGGCUUUUUCUGCAGGACGAACUUGGCGCCCCGGCCUUCGGCGGUUAUUUUUGGGCGCGGCUUUGCCCGUGGCCUAUUUUUGGCACAGGGAGGCCCCUCGCAAAGUCUCGCGGCAUUCUGAGUCCGGCGGACGAAGUAGGCCAGCCCCACCGCCCAAGGCUAUAGCCCACCCGUUUUUGUGGCUUUUUUCCGCUGGACGAACUUGGCGCCCCGGCCUUCGGGCGGUUAUUUUCUGGCGCGGCUUUGCCCGCAUCCUACUUUUGGCACACAGAGGCCCCUCGCAAAGUCUCGCGGCAUUCCGAGUCCGGCGGACGAAGUUGGCCAGCCCCACCCCCCAAGGCUAUAGCCCACCCGUUUUUGUGGCCUUUCUGCGCUGGACGAACUUGGCGCCCCGGCCUUCGGGCGGUUAUUUUUGGGUACGGCUUUGCCCACGGCCUACUUUUGGCACGCGGAGGCCCCUCGUAAAGUCUCGCGGCAUUCUGAGUCCGGCGGACGAAGUUGGCCAGCCCCACCCCCCAAGGCUAUAGCCCACCCGUUUUUGUGGCCUUUUUCCGCUGGACGAACUUGGCGCCCCGGCCUUCGGGCAGUUAUUUUUGGGUGCGGCUUUUCCCGCGGCCUACUUUUGGCACACGGAGGCUCCUCACAAAGUUUGGCGCCAUUCCGAGUCCGGCGGACGAAGUUGGCCAGCCCCACCCCCCAAGGCUAUAGCCCACCCAUUUUUUAG
rnacentral:lncRNA from 1 species